rnacentral:rRNA from 1 species
GUGUCAGCCGCCGCGGUAAUACAGAGGGUGCAAGCGUUGUUCGGAAUCACUGGGCGUAAAGGGCGUGUAGGCGGUAAGGCGGGUCCGAUGUGAAAUCCCUCGGCUUAACUGAGGAACGGCAUCGGAAACUUCCUUGCUCGAGUGUGGGAGAGGGUGACGGAAUUCCCAGAGUAGAGGUGAAAUUCGUAGAUACUGGGAGGAACACCGGAGGCGAAGGCGGUCACCUGGCCCAUAACUGACGCUGAGACGCGAAAGCGUGGGGAGCAAACAGGAUUAGAUACCCCCGUAGUCC